GAUGAAGAACGCAGCGAAAUGCGAUAAGUAAUGUGAAUUGCAGAAUUCAGUGAAUCAUCGAAUCUUUGAACGCACAUUGCGCCCUCUGGUAUUCCGGGGGGCAUGCCUGUUCGAGCGUCAUUAUAACCACUCAAGCUCUCGCUUGGUAUUGGGGUUCGCGGUUUCGCGGCCCCUAAAAUCAGUGGCGGUGCCUGUCGGCUCUACGCGUAGUAAUACUUCUCGCGAUUGAGUUCGAUAGGUCUACUUGCCAGUAACCCCCAAUUUUUACAGGUUGACCUCGGAUCAGGUAGGGAUACCCGCUGAACUUAAGCAUAUCCAAUAAGCGGAGGA
rnacentral:misc_RNA from 1 species